AGAGUUUGAUCCUGGCUCAGGAUGAACGCUAGCUACAGGCUUAACACAUGCAAGUCGAAGGGGAAACGAUAUUGGAAGCGUUGCUUCCGAGUAGGCGUCGACCGGCGUACGGGUGAGUAACGCGUAUCCAACCUGCCCACCACUUGGGGAUAACCUUGCGAAAGUAAGACUAAUACCCAAUGACGUCUCUAGAAGACAUCUGAAAGAGAUUAAAGAUUUAUCGGUGAUGGAUGGGGAUGCGUCUGAUUAGCUUGUUGGCGGGGUAACGGGCCCACCAAGGCGACGAUCAGUAGGGGUUCUGAGAGGAAGGCCCCCCACAUUGGAACUGAGACACGGUCCAAACUCCUACGGGAGGCAGCA
rnacentral:rRNA from 1 species